GGAGAAGGACGCCGAAGGUGGGGCUGAUGACUGGGGUGAAGUCGUAACAAGGUAGCCGUACCGGAAGGUGCGGCUGGAUCACCUCCUAACAGGGAGACAAAAAUUGAUUGUGUUGUCUUAGUAAUUUAUUCUUAGGCCACAAUCCUGUCACCUUAGGUCGAUCGGUACCUCAGAUUUUUGAAUUAAUUUAUAAUUAAUCCAUUAAUUUCAGUUCCUAAACUUGUCUAGGUCACACCCAACAAGGGUUUCUCCUGGGCCAUUAGCUCAGGUGGUUAGAGCGCACCCCUGAUAAGGGUGAGGUCCCUGGUUCAAGUCCAGGAUGGCCCAUUCGUUGUUGGGGGUAUAGCUCAGUUGGUAGAGCGCCUGCUUUGCAAGCAGGAUGUCAGCGGUUCGAGUCCGCUUACCUCCACUGAAAACUACCCUGAUAACUAAUUUCAGGAGAAAAUUUGUAAAUGUGACUUAGAAUUGUCUAUUUGAAAAGAACCUAGCUUCUUAUCAUCUUUUUAAAGUUGAUAAUAUGCUGGGCUCUAAUGGAAUUAUUUCCAUUUGAUUUCAGUAGAACCUUGAAAACUGCAUAGAUAGAAAGAAUAAAGCAUCUCAUGGAUGCAUAAUUCUGUAUCAAUAUUUAGAGUAAAACCUAAAUAUUUAAUUUACAGAAUUCAUGUUUAAUUCUUGAGUAAUAGCCGAGCACAAUUGAUUUUGUGAUUGUAUUUAAGGUCAAGCUACAAAGGGCUCA
rnacentral:misc_RNA from 1 species